AGCGAACGCUGGCGGCAGGCUUAACACAUGCAAGUCGAGCGGGCACUUUCGGGUGUCAGCGGCGGACGGGUGAGUAACGCGUGGGAACGUGCCCUCUGGUUCGGAAUAACUCAGGGAAACUUGAGCUAAUACCGGAUACGCCCUUUUGGGGAAAGGCUUGCUGCCGGAGGAUCGGCCCGCGUCUGAUUAGCUAGUUGGUGAGGUAACGGCUCACCAAGGCGACGAUCAGUAGCUGGUCUGAGAGGAUGAUCAGCCACACUGGGACUGAGACACGGCCCAGACUCCUACGGGAGGCAACAGUGGGGAAUAUUGGACAAUGGGCGCAAGCCUGAUCCAGCCAUGCCGCGUGAGUGAUGAAGGCCUUAGGGUUGUAAAGCUCUUUUAUCCGGGACGAUAAUGACGGUACCGGAGGAAUAAGCCCCGGCUAACUUCGUG
rnacentral:rRNA from 1 species